rnacentral:misc_RNA from 1 species
AGGGGGGAUCCCGGGCUCGCGCGCUCAGUGUGCCCGAGAAUCCCGUGUCGUGCGCCCCGCGAGUGUCCCGACUGCCUCACACCGCCAACAUGCAGCUCGUCCUCGCAACUUGCUUCCUGCUCUUCGCAGCCACCCUCGGCCCUGCUGCAGCUCAAAGGAUAACGACAAUUCAGCUAGAUGGCGUUCAAUACUUCAUCUCCAGAAUGAACCCCUACAGUCCAGAGCUCAACUACUUCCUAGCAUAUCAGUACUGCAGAUCGUUAGGUUUGCAGUUAGCAUCCUUUGAGACGAAAGAAAAGGCGGACUCUAUAACAACGUAUCUCACAAAUGCAGGCUACAACAAAUACGACUUCUGGACAUCGGGCAACAACCUGGGCACAGAUAUGUACCUAUGGAUGAGCACCGGGCUACCGUUCAAUGCGACGUUCAACUACAUGAGGCGCCUCACUGUGGACGUGCCUAGCACGCGCGACGACAGCAUUGACCCGCUUGACGUGCCACAGGGCAGCACCGCGCCGCAGCGCACCGCACGACAUGGUACCGAGCACGUGAUGACGAACGGUUGCGUGGCCCUCAAAGCGCCCACCUUCCACUGGGAGCCCCAGCACUGCGGCGAGAUCAAGGACUUCAUCUGCGAACAGACGCGCUGCUACUACUACAACUACGGAUCCAUUCCCGUCUCGUCCGCGCAGGGGUAAUGCCAGGUGAGAUGCCAGCCGUCUCCGGAGGCCCAAUCCCCGACCAGCCGCGCGCAUUUAAUCCUUGGGAAGCCGCUGUCGCUGACGACCACGACGACCGCGCACCCGCUGACGUCGUCGUCGCCGCCGCCGCCGCGCUCCGAGCACCUGCCCACCCACUUCACUCUCAAUGACCUCAUCGGCAAGCUGCGCCCCUCCUCGCUCG